UUGCUUUGGUUUUCUUUAAGCGUUGUCAGCAUCCGGAAAUCUGGGCACAAAAGAAUCCCCAACAUCCCCAACCUUACACGCACGUUGCGGUCCAAUUUAACCCAGUGGCAGAGGAGUGAAAAUGCCGGUGAGGCUGCUCGCUUUCCGCAGGGACAUGGCUGGAGCAGAGGGAAGGAGGAGAACCAAGGCCGAGGUUUCACCGCGCCCGCAGCUCAGCCAAGCUGUUGUUUUAAAAGGGCAAUAAAAGUGAAUUAUGACUAAACCCCUUCUCACUUAAUGGUUUUAGACGGGGAUCCCCAGCCCUGGCAAAUACGUAAGAGGAUUUUUAUUUGUGAAUGUGUUCCUGCAAUUGAUCUCUUUGAUGACAUUCUCAUUCAUAGAAAGAGUUUGAUUUAUGACUUUCGGAAGAAUUGCGUUCAGCCCUUCCAGCUAUAACCCACGCAUCCCAGCUCCACAGCGUGUUCCAGGGCUGGGAGACAACACUGCUCGCACGGAUGGACAGCAGAGCCCCGUUCACAAACCCCCAGCCAAGCCUCACUCGCUUGUAAGCGAUGACUGAUUUCUUGGAUUACUCGGCACGUGAGAAGUAACCAACCACAUUCUUUGUGAGCUCUGAUAAAUUUUAAGAUACGUUUUCUGAAAUAUCUUGCUGGCUGUUAAGCGCUGCUUUCUAGAAUAACAGGAUUAUUAAAAAAACCCCCAAAAAACAACAACCAAACGCCUUUCCUUUCGUUCAUGUAACAGGCUGGUUUCUGCAGGAGACGUUUAUCCUACUGAUUCUCUCUUACAUUAUGCCUGUAACAGAGAAAGUCCUCGUUCAUGCUUUUGUUACAGCUCAGGAUUUUCAAGCUUUGUAUCCUCACAGACAUAAGAUGCCACAUUUAUAUAUUAAAAGGAACAAAUCUCCGUCAAA